CCCUGGAGGACUAGUGGUUAGGCCUCAGCGCUCUCACCGCCACGGCCCGGGUUCGAUUCCUGGCCACUGGGG
rnacentral:tRNA from 1 species